UACGGGGGGGGCAAGCGUUGUUCGGAAUUACUGGGCGUAAAGGGCUCGUAGGUGGCCAACUAAGUCAGACGUGAAAUCCCCAGGCUUAACCUGGGAACUGCGUCUGAUACUGGAUGGCUUGAAUUCGGGAGAGGGAUGUGGAAUUCCAGGUGUAGCGGUGAAAUGCGUAGAUAUCUGGAGGAACACCGGUGGCGAAGGCGGCAUCCUGGACCGGUAUUGACGCUGAGGCGCGAAAGCCAGGGGAGCAAACGGG
rnacentral:rRNA from 1 species